GUCAGGAUACUCAGUUGGUAGAGCAAGACUGAAAACC
rnacentral:tRNA from 1 species